rnacentral:rRNA from 1 species
AACGAACGCUGGCGGCAUGCCUAACACAUUCAAGUCGAACGAGACCUUCGGGUCUAGUGGCGCACGGGUGCGUAACGCGUGGGAAUCUGCCCUUGGGUUCGGAAUAACAGUUGGAAACGACUGCUAAUACCGGAUGAUGACGUAAGUCCAAAGAUUUAUCGCCCAAGGAUGGGCCCGCGUAGGAUUAGCUAGUUGGUGAGGUAAAGGCUCACCAAGGCGACGAUCCUUAGCUGGUCUGAGAGGAUGAUCAGCCACACUGGGACUGAGACACGGCCCAGACUCCUACGGGAGGCAGCAGUGGGGAAUAUUGGACAAUGGGCGAAAGCCUGAUCCAGCAAUGCCGCGUGAGUGAUGAAGGCCUUAGGGUUGUAAAGCUCUUUUACCCGGGAUGAUAAUGACAGUACCGGGAGAAUAAGCUCCGGCUAACUCCGUG